UUGGAGGGCAAGUCUGGUGCCAGCAGCCGCGGCAAUUCCAGCUCCAAUAGCGUAUAUUAAAGUUGUUGCGGUUAAAAAGCUCGUAGUUGAAUUUCGGGAUUAGUACGUUGGUCGUGCCUUCGGUACGUACUGGUGUUACUGAUUCCUACCUUCUGACGAACCAUCAUGUCAUUAAUUUGGUGUGGCGGGGAAUCAGGACUGUUACUUUGAAAAAAUUAGAGUGUUUAAAGCAGGCUCGCGCUUGAAUACAUUAGCAUGGAAUAAUGAAAUAGGACGUUGAUCCUAUUUUGUUGGUUUCUAGGAUUGACGUAAUGAUUAAUAGGGAUAGUUGGGGGCAUUAGUAUUCAAUUGUCAGAGGUGAAAUUCUUGGAUUUAUUGAAGACUAACUACUGCGAAAGCAUUUGCCAAGGAUGUUUUCAUUAAUCAAGAACGAAAGUUAGGGGAUCGAAGACGAUCAGACACCGUCGUAGUCUUAACCAUAAACUAUGCCGACUAGGGAUCGGAUGAUGUUAUUUUUAAUGACUCAUUCGGCGCCUUACGGGAAAC
rnacentral:rRNA from 1 species